rnacentral:lncRNA from 10 species
UGAGUAGCUGGGAUUACAGGUACCCACAACCACGCCUGGCUAAUUUUUGUAUUUUUAGGAGAGACAGGGUUUCACGAUGUUGGCUAGGCUGGUCUCAAACUCCUGACCUCAGGUGAUCUGCUCACUUUGGCCUCCCAAAGUGCUGGGAGUAUAGGCAUGAGCCACCGCGCCUGGCAUAAAGUGAUUUCUUGUUUUGAUAUUCUUGGAGUUAAUUGUUAUUUAGGGUUUACUCUGCUUUCCAAUGGAAGGCUAAUAACGAUCAGUAGAAAAGAGUGAAAAUUAAUAUCCAAAAUGAACUGUGAUCUCUAAUGCAUCAGGAAAAUUCCACAUCAUUUUCACUAGUAUUUUAUCUUAACUCUACAUACAGAAGGAUAUUGUACUAUGCAUUGCUUACUACUUACCCUCUUAUUUCCACCUGCGCUACAGCAGUGAUGUUGAUUUGCAGGCUCACAAAAUUGCUGUCUGGAUUGUCCUUGUUGGAACUAAAACACAAGGACAUGUGAUUUAAAUCUAUCUGCUCAGGAGUAUUAUUACAAUAUAUGAUCAUAAAAAACAUUCUACAUAUCACAGGAGAACACACGUUACUAACCUGAUCAUUCAGGAUACAAGUGUAUUCAUUCUCCAAAAUCGUAACCAUUUGUACAGAGAAAUGCUAAGAUCUUUUAUGAUCAAUAGUAAUGUAACAACUGUCUAUGAAGAGACACUUUAUCUGGAAAUACAAUAGAUAUCUAAAGAAACUAACACUUUUUUUUUUUUUUUGAGACGGAGUCUCCCUCUGUUGCGAGGCUGGAGUACAGUAGCCCAAUAUCAGCUCACUGCAACCUCUGCCUCCCCAAUUCAAGUGAUUCUCCUGCCUCAGCCUCCCAAGUAGCUGAGACUACAGGCGUGUGCCACCACACCCAGCUAAUUUUUGUGUUUUUAGUAAAGACGGGGUUUCACCAUGUUGGCCAGGAUGGUCUCUAUCUCUUGACCUCAUGAUCUGCCCACCUCAGCCUCCCAAAGUGCUGGGAUUACAGGCGUGAGCCACCCCGCCCAGCCAAAACUAACACUUUUUUAAAUGGCUAAACCAAAAAUGUAUUGAACUGAGCUCAUUUUGCAGCUUCUACCUUUGACAAAUUCCUUAACAUCUCUGCGCAUAUCAUGUUCAUUGCCCAUUAAAUAGGAAGUAACAACACAGCCAACUCCUGAUUUUCCUUGCUAAUAAAGAGAAGAACUGGCAUGAAUAAUGCAGAGAAAUACAUAAUCGAAACAGCAUUUGUGUUUGGCUCUGGGAUGCAUCAUACCAUGCACUGGCUUGGCAGCAAUUUCAUCUUCCUAACGGUUUAUUUCUUCAGUUAGUAUUAAAAUAAGCAUAUAUUCACUGCAUACUCACCAGCUAACUAGGACAAGGAGUUGGAGGGUAUUUUAAAAGACCAGUUUAAAUAACACACUUUUCAUUACCCACAAUACCCUGAAUAUAGACCCAAGGAAGUUGGCCAGUUCAUAAACAGGCAAUUAGGAGAUGACAUGGAUAUUUACAAAAUGCAUUAAGAGUGUCUAGAUAGAAGGUGUGUGUUUAACAACAUUUCUUUGAACAGUGGCAAAAUUAUUUUUUAAGUUUGCUGGGGUUUUUUCUCUCCAGCAAAUAUAAUUAGAUAUGAAACAACUUUUAAAAAUGCAUGGGUUUCAAAAUGUGUGUGCUAUAAGGAAAAUAAAACGUACUUCACAAAGAGGCUCAACCAGUAACUGAGUUUUGGAGGUAGCUUCCAUCUGAAUUUUAUAAUCCUAUUAUGCUUUUACUGAAGUCACUAAAAACUUAGGCAGCUUUUAGCAAACCGAGACACAGCCACAUCACCACUAACAGGUCAUGUUUAUAUUCAGGUGUCAUUAGGAAGAGAAGGCCUCCUCUUUUUUCAUCAUCAAACCUCACUCUGAUUCGAUGGACAAGCUCUAGCACCAAGAUGAUGGUAAUGCGGUGACACAAAGCUUCAUGUCACUGGAGGAUCAAUGGCACAGACAAUGAUGCAGAGGAAUAGAAACUUCAGGUUACUGUCUGGAGGGAUGGUGGUCCUUUGCCAUGACGUGUUUUGUUUGUUUUUGUUUUUUUUCUUAAGAUACUUAGAAAUAUCAACAGAAGAUUUCCAAAAUAAAAAUAUUUAGGGCUACCUAAACCUUUGAUAUAUUUUUACAGAUACAAAGAAAUGAUUUAACAUGCUUUUGGUAAAAUGAAGGAAUAUUACAGAAGAAUUUAUUCCAUCUGUAUCCCAUCACUAAAUUUUAUCCAGAUUUUAAGAACCUAAAAUUCAGCAGAAAAUGUCUAAGUUAAAUUCAAGAAAGAUUUCAUUAAGGUCAGAAAUGAACAGCUCAAGUGGCUGAGAGCCAAGAGAAGUCAUGCAAUGAACUACAGGCCCCAGAAGAUUCAGGUCACAGUACAGCAGCACCAGUUCACCAGCCCUUGCCGAAUGUGCUUCGAGCUACGUACUGUCCGAAUGGCUUUACAUUUGUCAUAUCAUUCAUUGCUCCAAACAGUCCUACAGUGAUAGAAACCUUAUUGUAUUGCGAUAGAGGCUACCUAAUGAUGGUUUUCAUUAUAGAACAAUAAGCAUGGGACAAAGACCCAAUGAAGGUGUGACAAUUUCAUACUGGUAAGAGGUGCAUGUGUCCUUAACUAGUACCAAACACCAGAUCUCAUGGCAUUGAUUUUAAAGCGCUCUUAUUGACCCCACCGUUUAAAAAAAUUUUCCCAUGAGAAAAUUUGCAACUUGUUAUGAAUCUUAUUGGCAUGUAAACAUCUUAUAUUACUAUAGCUACUCUAUGGAAAUGACUUUACUAUUUAAAAAUCAGAAGUAAAACUUCUGAAUACUAUCUUGAAUAUUUUUUUUAAGUUAAAAUACCAAGUCACUUGAAAGUGAUUUUUAAAAGAUAAUAGAUAGAACUAAACAUUCCUGGCAAUUUAUGUUGCUUUUAAAAUCUUUAGCACUGCUUUUCCAUUUGGAAUUUUACCACAACCCACUGAGAGUAUUCUUUGUAGAGUACAAAAUGAAGAAGAAUAUAAAUCAAAGUGUUUUAUAACAAAACAGAAUGCAAUAAAAUUUGAUGUGUUUAAGGGCACUAAAGAAUGAGAUAAGAAAGCUAUUAGGUUUCUUUUACUAUAGACCUCAGAGAUAAAUGAAUAUAAACAAUUUACUUCCCUGACUUCUAAAGACUAUUUGCUGGCAAAAUGAAUUGACAUACUUUCACAUAAACACAUUUGUGAUUAAGACCACACUGCCAUUUUUCCUCCACUUUGAAUGAUACUGGUGGCCAGUUUUGUUCCAAGAUUAUCCUUAGAUGACCUCUGGUCUAGCUGUAACACUUCUAAUACUGAAAAAGGAACGAGUGGUCCAUCAUCUACAGAUGCUGACACUGUUACUACCACCUCAAUUCAUUUCUCUUUUGUCUUAGGUAACCCUCUUCAUAUUAAAUUAGGCCAUUGAGGCUGGGCUCGGUGGCACACACCUGUAAUUCCAGCACUUUCGGAGGCCAAGGCAGGUGGAUCACCUGAGGCCAGGAGUUCGAGACCAGCCUGGCCCCCGUCUCUACUAAAAAUACAAAAUUAGCCGGGCAUGUUGGCAUGCACCUGUAAUCUCAGCUACUCGGGAGGCUGAGCAGGAGAAUCACUUGAACCCGGGAGGCAGAGGUUGCGGUGAGCUAAGAUCGUGCCAUUGCACUUCAGCCUGGGCAACAAGCGUGAAACUCCAUCUCAAAAUAAAAUAAAAUAGGCGGUUGGAUUUUUCUCAAAAAACUAGCAAAACGAUUCAUUACCUUCCAGAUAAAAGGACUAUGAUAGUGAAAAAUGUUCUAAUAUCUCAGUGUAAACAUCCCAUUCUCUCUUUCAAUGCUUCAUUUUGAAGUCUCAUCUGUUAUUCAUUUGUUUUUUAUCCAAGGGCUUUUCACCAUGUUGCAGACGGGAUAGAACAUGGGCUUUGCUGUAAGACUUGGUUUGAAUCUUGUUCUAACCUUUACCCUCUGUGAGGCUUUGGCCAAUUCAUCUGACUUCUCUGAGCUUCAGUUUCCUCAUCCAUAAAAUAAAGAAAAUACUUGACUCACAGGGUUGUUUUGAAAAUUCAAUAAAAUAACGUAAAAAACUCCCCUCCUCCCAGCGAUGCGUUUAUAACCUAGAGGACAAUCAAUCCAUGGUAACCAAUAAUAAUAUGUCAUGGGAAUGUACUUGCCAUUGAAAUAUUUAUUUAUUUUUGCCCCAAGAAGUGAGCUUACUGUAGUUUCAGCACAUUUUUGAAUACCC